rnacentral:rRNA from 1 species
CACACUAUCAUUAACUGAAUCCAUAGGUUAAUGAGGCGAACCGGGGGAACUGAAACAUCUAAGUACCCCGAGGAAAAGAAAUCAACCGAGAUUCCCCCAGUAGCGGCGAGCGAACGGGGAGGAGCCCAGAGCCUGAAUCAGUGUGUGUGUUAGUGGAAGCGUCUGGAAAGGCGCGCGAUACAGGGUGACAGCCCCGUACACAAAAAUGCACAUGCUGUGAGCUCGAUGAGUAGGGCGGGACACGUGGUAUCCUGUCUGAAUAUGGGGGGACCAUCCUCCAAGGCUAAAUACUCCUGACUGACCGAUAGUGAACCAGUACCGUGAGGGAAAGGCGAAAAGAACCCCGGCGAGGGGAGUGAAAAAGAACCUGAAACCGUGUACGUACAAGCAGUGGGAGCCUCUUUAUGGGGUGACUGCGUACCUUUUGUAUAAUGGGUCAGCGACUUAUAUUCUGUAGCAAGGUUAACCGAAUAGGGGAGCCGAAGGGAAACCGAGUCUUAACUGGGCGUUAAGUUGCAGGGUAUAGACCCGAAACCCGGUGAUCUAGCCAUGGGCAGGUUGAAGGUUGGGUAACACUAACUGGAGGACCGAACCGACUAAUGUUGAAAAAUUAGCGGAUGACUUGUGGCUGGGGGUGAAAGGCCAAUCAAACCGGGAGAUAGCUGGUUCUCCCCGAAAGCUAUUUAGGUAGCGCCUCGUGAAUUCAUCUCCGGGGGUAGAGCACUGUUUCGGCAAGGGGGUCAUCCCGACUUACCAACCCGAUGCAAACUGCGAAUACCGGAGAAUGUUAUCACGGGAGACACACGGCGGGUGCUAACGUCCGUCGUGAAGAGGGAAACAACCCAGACCGCCAGCUAAGGUCCCAAAGUCAUGGUUAAGUGGGAAACGAUGUGGGAAGGCCCAGACAGCCAGGAUGUUGGCUUAGAAGCAGCCAUCAUUUAAAGAAAGCGUAAUAGCUCACUGGUCGAGUCGGCCUGCGCGGAAGAUGUAACGGGGCUAAACCAUGCACCGAAGCUGCGGCAGCGACGCUUAUGCGUUGUUGGGUAGGGGAGCGUUCUGUAAGCCUGUGAAGGUGUGCUGUGAGGCAUGCUGGAGGUAUCAGAAGUGCGAAUGCUGACAUAAGUAACGAUAAAGCGGGUGAAAAGCCCGCUCGCCGGAAGACCAAGGGUUCCUGUCCAACGUUAAUCGGGGCAGGGUGAGUCGACCCCUAAGGCGAGGCCGAAAGGCGUAGUCGAUGGGAAACAGGUUAAUAUUCCUGUACUUGGUGUUACUGCGAAGGGGGGACGGAGAAGGCUAUGUUGGCCGGGCGACGGUUGUCCCGGUUUAAGCGUGUAGGCUGGUUUUCCAGGCAAAUCCGGAAAAUCAAGGCUGAGGCGUGAUGACGAGGCACUACGGUGCUGAAGCAACAAAUGCCCUGCUUCCAGGAAAAGCCUCUAAGCAUCAGGUAACAUCAAAUCGUACCCCAAACCGACACAGGUGGUCAGGUAGAGAAUACCAAGGCGCUUGAGAGAACUCGGGUGAAGGAACUAGGCAAAAUGGUGCCGUAACUUCGGGAGAAGGCACGCUGAUAUGUAGGUGAAGUCCCUCGCGGAUGGAGCUGAAAUCAGUCGAAGAUACCAGCUGGCUGCAACUGUUUAUUAAAAACACAGCACUGUGCAAACACGAAAGUGGACGUAUACGGUGUGACGCCUGCCCGGUGCCGGAAGGUUAAUUGAUGGGGUCAGCGCAAGCGAAGCUCUUGAUCGAAGCCCCGGUAAACGGCGGCCGUAACUAUAACGGUCCUAAGGUAGCGAAAUUCCUUGUCGGGUAAGUUCCGACCUGCACGAAUGGCGUAAUGAUGGCCAGGCUGUCUCCACCCGAGACUCAGUGAAAUUGAACUCGCUGUGAAGAUGCAGUGUACCCGCGGCAAGACGGAAAGACCCCGUGAACCUUUACUAUAGCUUGACACUGAACAUUGAGCCUUGAUGUGUAGGAUAGGUGGGAGGCUUAGAAGUGUGGACGCCAGUCUGCAUGGAGCCGACCUUGAAAUACCACCCUUUAAUGUUUGAUGUUCUAACGUUGACCCGUAAUCCGGGUUGCGGACAGUGUCUGGUGGGUAGUUUGACUGGGGCGGUCUCCUCCUAAAGAGUAACGGAGGAGCACGAAGGUUGGCUAAUCCUGGUCGGACAUCAGGAGGUUAGUGCAAUGGCAUAAGCCAGCUUGACUGCGAGCGUGACGGCGCGAGCAGGUGCGAAAGCAGGUCAUAGUGAUCCGGUGGUUCUGAAUGGAAGGGCCAUCGCUCAACGGAUAAAAGGUACUCCGGGGAUAACAGGCUGAUACCGCCCAAGAGUUCAUAUCGACGGCGGUGUUUGGCACCUCGAUGUCGGCUCAUCACAUCCUGGGGCUGAAGUAGGUCCCAAGGGUAUGGCUGUUCGCCAUUUAAAGUGGUACGCGAGCUGGGUUUAGAACGUCGUGAGACAGUUCGGUCCCUAUCUGCCGUGGGCGCUGGAGAACUGAGGGGGGCUGCUCCUAGUACGAGAGGACCGGAGUGGACGCAUCACUGGUGUUCGGGUUGUCAUGCCAAUGGCACUGCCCGGUAGCUAAAUGCGGAAGAGAUAAGUGCUGAAAGCAUCUAAGCACGAAACUUGCCCCGAGAUGAGUUCUCCCUGACCCUUUAAGGGUCCUGAAGGAACGUUGAAGACGACGACGUUGAUAGGCCGGGUGUGUAAGCGCAGCGAUGCGUUGAGCUAACCGGUACUAAUGAACCGUGAGGCUUAACCUUACAACGCCGAAGCUGUU